rnacentral:rRNA from 1 species
GCCUACGGGGCGCAGCAGUGGGGAAUAUUGCACAAUGGGGGAAACCCUGAUGCAGCAACGCCGCGUGAGUGAAGAAGUAUUUCGGUAUGUAAAGCUCUAUCAGCAGGGAAGAAGAAAGACGGUACCUGACUAAGAAGCCCCGGCUAACUACGUGCCAGCAGCCGCGGGCAUACGUAGGGGGCACGCGUUAUCCGGAUUUACUGGGUGUAAAGGGAGCGUAGACGGCAUAGCAAGUCUGAAAUGAAAGCCCGUGGCUCAACC